GACGAACGCUGGCGGCGUGCUUAACACAUGCAAGUCGAACGGAAAGGCCCUGCUUUUGUGGGGUGCUCGAGUGGCGAACGGGUGAGAAACACGUGAGUAACCUGCCCUUGACUUUGGGAUAACUUCAGGAAACUGGGGCUAAUACCGGAUAGGAGCUCCUGCUGCAUGGUGGGGGUUGGAAAGUUUCGGCGGUUGGGGAUGGACUCGCGGCUUAUCAGCUUGUUGGUGGGGUAGUGGCUUACCAAGGCUUUGACGGGUAGCCGGCCUGAGAGGGUGACCGGCCACAUUGAGACUGAGAUACGGCCCAGACUCCUACGGGAGGCAGCAGUGGGGAAUAUUGCACAAUGGGCGGAAGCCUGAUGCAGCAACGCCGCGUGCGGGAUGACGGCCUUCGGGUUGUAAACCGCUUUCGCCUGUGACGAAGCGUGAGUGACGGUAAUGGGUAAAGAAGCACCGGCUAACUACGUG
rnacentral:rRNA from 1 species